CGGCUGGAGGGUCCGGGGGCCUGUGUGGGACCUCGGACCUUUUUCGGUGCGUCAGACUAAAAAAGUGAGCGUUUUGCUCUACGUUUUGCUGCGUGAGGGGCCUUGGCCGAUCGCCGGGCGCCUGCGUUGGCCGGCGACCCCGCGGACCGGCCCUUCCCGCCCGAGCCUCCGUCCGGGCCUCCCGCGGCCGGGCGUCACCCCCACACCGAGCCCGAGAGGGUGUCCUCCCAACGGCGACCGCGGGCCUGCACCCUGUUUCAUUUGGAGGUUCCACCGAGAUUCUGUGACCACCCGAAAUUCGGAGGCUGAAGCGGAACAGCUAGGGGAGAGCUCCCGAGACACGUUCCUCGGCCCCAGCCUUCCGUUCUCAGACCUGGCUUAAGCAAGGUCUUACUGACUUCAAGGAAAGGGCCCGAGUGCCCCGGGAAGCCACGAGAGCAGUCCUUGGCCCAGAUGGAAUGCCUACCACAGACCUUCACAGAAUUGAGCACGUUUUCCCUUCCACGCCGCCCCAGUGGGACCCUAACACGGAUAACGGAAUCAUCAAGCAGAGCCUGAGUCAGAUCGGACCACGACUAGAGGAAAGAGAAAGACAAAGACGAAUUCAUCAAAAUUGGUUAUGCACAAAGUGCGGCGGGAAGAAGGGAAAAUGAGGUUUCUGAUAGCCCCGCCAUCACCCACGAGUUGAGUGAUUUUCCAGAAGGACUCACGUGACUCAACAUAUACUCAAAGUUAAGAUUUAUGACAGCAAAGGGAAGAAUGCAGACACAGAGGGACAAAGAUCCGCACGAGCAAAGACAAGGGAAGUCUUUCUCGGCCUCCGUCUUCAGAGAUGAUGUGCACACUUCUCCUCUCCGGCUGUGAGCUACAGGCACCAGUGAAAGCUGUGGCUGCCAAACAAAGUCCACCUGAGUCCCGGAGCCCAAGUUCUGGAAGGGACCCGGUCACCUGCCUGCCAUACCUACCCCACACCAGCUACGUGUCAGCAAUUUGCAAGUUUACUUCAAAUAAGCUGACGACGUGCUUCAUAGUGCCCCACCGCCUCAGGUGCACAGAAUAACAUCAUUUCCCAGUAACCGUGUGAACAUUCCAGAGUUUGACAGAGGGACGUCACCGCGACUGCAGAGAUCUGUGGAAUCCGAGUGAAAUAGAUUCGCAGCAUCACCCUUGCCCUGGCAAUGGCCCAAGUCGGGAAAGGUGGCAGAUUUUGAGUCCCAACUUGAAUAAGAGCUUAGCAGGCAGCCGGGAAGAGGCUUCCAGAUUGGGGGGGGGGGGGGGGGGGGGUGGACAAGCCCAAGGAGGCAUACCGGUUGAGGGUUUCUAAAGAACUAUAAAGCAUUCAGUGCGAUCGAACAUGGAGGGGAGAGAGAUUGCUGUAUUCAGCAAAGUGGCUGUAUUCAGAUCACCUCCCAUUCACCCUGUAGCUGGAGGCGGUCUGCCCCCCACAGUACACCAGACGGCCGGACAGGCCAUGCUCGACGCUGGACGGAUGAGAUUGGUAGCCGUUUCCGGUCACACGCACUCACAGCCCGGAAGGGGAGGGCGCCGCAUGCCGCGCAAGGUCGCUCCGCUGCAAUCUCCAAUCGAGUGAGCCAGCAAGGGCUGCGGGAGCCUCUCCAUUCACAGACAAGAAUAAGCGUACUAACAUCUUGGAACUUGGCGAACGUGAUCGUUGCCAAGGGAGGAGAAGAUGACCCGUAAGGCACGCUAGACCAGGAGGCCAAAACAUCUGCACACCCCUGCAAACAGGCAGGCGAACGUGCCAGACAGACCGAACCCCAACUCAGCCUUCACUGGCCUCCGUCGCAUAACCAGGCCCGUAUCAGCAGCACGUUUCUGGUCAACAACCAGCAAAUGUCCAAAGUUUUCGCCAUCAUCUCCUGCCACAGGUAUCUGGGAUAUAGGUCCCUCGGGUCUCACCAGAAACUGUGUUGAUGCCUGAGGGGAAAUGUCAUGGAAACCGAGACACCAGUCAUCCGCAAAAAUUCUUUGGCAACCGCCCCCUGGUUUUUCAGCUCGGCCGGCGGCUGCGUUCCAGCCCCACAUCUCACUCUGCACUGGCAACGUGGAGCCCGCUCGGGGUUCUCUCCCUUCCCCUUCCCCUG